UACGUAGGGUGCAAGCGUUGUCCGGAAUUAUUGGGCGUAAAGAGCUCGUAGGCGGUUUGUUGCGUCGGCUGUGAAAUCCCGAGGCUCAACCUCGGGUCUGCAGUCGAUACGAGCAAACUAGAGUGUUGCAGGGGAGACUGGAAUUCCUGGUGUAGCGGUGAAAUGCGCAGAUAUCAGGAGGAACACCGGUGGCGAAGGCGGGUCUCUGGGCAACAACUGACGCUGAGAGACGAAAGCUAGGGGAGCAAAUGGG
rnacentral:rRNA from 1 species